rnacentral:tRNA from 1 species
CUGUCUGUAGCCCAGUCUGGUAGGGUGCUGCACUUGGAAUGCAGAGGUCGCAGGUUCAAAUCCUGCCAGACAGACCA